rnacentral:rRNA from 1 species
UGGUGGAGUGAUUUGUCAGGUUAAUUCCGGUAACGAACGAGACCUCCGCCUGCUAAAUAGUCACGCUGUGCUUUGCACACGCGGGCGUACUUCUUAGAGGGACUACGGGCGGUGAGCUCGCGGAAGUUGGAGGCAAUAACA